GGCAGCAGCUAAGAAUAUUCCGCAAUGGACGAAAGUCUGACGGAGCGACGCCGCGUGGAUGAUGAAGGCCGGAAGGUUGUAAAAUCCUUUUAUGACUGAGGAAUAAGUUCUCUGAGAGAAACGGAGGAUGGUGACUGUAGGUCAUGAAUAAGCAACGGCUAAUUACGUGCCAGCAGCCGCGGUAACACGUAAGUUGCGAGCGUUGUUCGGAAUUAUUGGGCGUAAAGGGCAUGUAGGCGGUUAUGCAAGUCUGGUGUGAAAUGCCGGGGCUUAACCCCGGAACUGCGUUGGAAACUGCAUAACUUGAGUCGCUGAGGGGCAGCCAGAAUUCCAGGUGUAGGGGUGAAAUCUGUAGAUAUCUGGAAGAAUACCAAUGGCGAAGGCAGGCUGCCAGCAGAUGACUGACGCUGAGGUGCGAAGGUGCGGGGAGCAAACAGGAUUAGAUACCCUGGUAGUCCGCACAGUCAACUAUGUACACUAGGUGUCCGUUCAUGAGAAUGGGUGCCGAAGCAAACGCGAUAAGUGUACCGCCUGGGGAGUAUGCCCGCAAGGGUGAAACUCAAGGAAUUGACGG
rnacentral:rRNA from 1 species